rnacentral:rRNA from 1 species
ACCAGACUCCUACGGGAGGCAGCAGUGGGGGAUAUUGCACAAUGGGGGAAACCCUGAUGCAGCGACGCCGCGUGAGUGAAGAAGUAUUUCGGUAUGUAAAGCCCUAUCGGCAGGGAAGAAGGAGGACGGUACCUGACUAAGAAGCCCCGGCUAACUACGUGCCAGCAGCCGCGGUAAUACGUAGGGGGCAAGCGUUAUCCGGAUUUACUGGGUGUAAAGGGGGCGCAGACGGCAGCGCAAGCCAGGAGUGAAAGCCCGGGGCCCAACCCCGGGACUGCUCUUGGAACUGCGCGGCUGGAGUGCAGGAGGGGCAGGCGGAAUUCCUGGUGUAGCGGUGAAAUGCGUAGAUAUCAGGAGGAACACCGGUGGCGAAGGCGGCCUGCUGGACUGCAACUGACGUUGAGGCCCGAAAGCGUGGGGAGCAAACAGGAUUAGAUACCCGAGUAC